rnacentral:rRNA from 1 species
CGGCGGACGGGUGAGUAAUGCCUAGGAAUCUGCCUGGUAGUGGGGGACAACGUUUCGAAAGGAACGCUAAUACCGCAUACGUCCUACGGAGAAAGCAGGGACCUUCGGGCCUUGCGCUAUCAGAUGAGCCUAGGUCGGAUUAGCUAGUUGGUGAGGUAAUGGCUCACCAAGGCGACGAUCCGUAACUGGUCUGAGAGGAUGAUCAGUCACACUGGAACCGAGACACGGUCCAGACUCCUACGGGAGGCAGCAGGC